GGAGUUUUACACCUGUAUGUACUGCUUAUAGACAGAAAGACAACACAACCUAACAUGUAAAUGUUAAAUGCGCCUAAACUUGAUAGAAAUUUGCAUUUUGAGUGAGCAUUCAUGCUUAAGCGAAGAAUAAUCAGGUUUAGUCUGGUGAUUUUAUCACCUUGUUUCAUUCUGUACCCAACUGUGAGAUAUAAUAACUCCUAUUUAAAGCGAAGAAUAAUCAGGUUUAGUCUGGUAUCUUUGAUCACUGCUCUCAUACUGUUUGGAUCUACCGAUUUUUUCCCUCUUUGUGUCACUUACAAGGCCCACAUUCUGGGACACCAUCUCAAAUUCUGCUCUGUCAUUUCCAAUUUUCCUCAGGUCUAUGAGAAGGAAGUGGUGGGUGGCUUGUCUGUAAUUCUGAGGCACUCUGAGGCACUUUCAGGUUUCUUUCUGUGGACUGUAAGGCAAAAAUCAGGUUUCAGCAUCCUGAUAUUUUCAUUAGACUAGUACAACCCCUUAAAGUUACUUGAGGGAACUUCACAUCUUUUUCUGAAUGGCUUCAACCUUUAAGUCUCUCCAUAUUUGUUCUCAUUAGAAGGAAAUCCUAAAUAGAUAAUUUGAAUAUCCUGAAAUUACAAUGCUUUUUAAUUACAUCAUUCCCCCACCAGGAUUGUUAUUUCUCAGCUUUAAAGAUGUGGACUUUUUUAAAAAGUCAUUAAAAAAAUUUGAUUUUUUAAAAAUUCCCUCCUAAUGGGAGAGAAAAUGAUUUUUAACCUGAUCUAGUAUUAUAAUAUCAAAUGACUGGAUGAUGGAUUACUUUUAGCAAAUGAUAAAAAAACUGGUACAGGCUGUUUUGGGA